AUAAAGAUUUCCUCCAAACUAGGUUGGAGGAAUUUCCUCCAACAUAGUCUAUAAAAAUAACAUGUGUCCUUUUACAUGUGAGAAGUACAUAUUUUUUUAAUUACAAUGACAAAUUUGGAAAAUUUUUUAUAAAAAGCAUGUGUUUCUCACAUGCAAAUGGACACAUGUCAUUUUUAUAGAUUAUGUUGGAAGAAGCGAAACACGUAAAUGGACACAUGUCAUUUUUAUAGACUAUGUUGAAGAAAGUUGCUCCAAUCCAAUUUGGAGAAAAACUGUCCCCCUUAAAAAGAUUAAAAAAAAGGUUGUGUUCAAAAUUGUGUAAAUUUAUGAAAUCUUGCUUUGCACAUUGAAUGUUGCAUUCUUUGUUUAGUCGCAUAAUUGGGUUAUUCAGUCAUAAUUUACUUGAUUACUGGUCCUAUAACAAAUGUUACAAAAUUUCUUACUGGUUCAAAACGAGCCUUUAGAUAACGUGGCCUCAAACUUCCAAGCUCCACAAAUGAAAAAGCUAAAGGCUGCAUUACAUACAGAUAAAUCCAUUAACAGAAUACUCUGCUUAACUAUUUUAGCCCCUGCCCUCCAACCUUCCUGCUCAUGUCUCUGUCCUUGUAUGUCCGUGUGCUCGUGCGCACGUGUUUUAAUUUUUGUUUCAAAAGGAAGAAAAGUUAUUCUAAAAUGCUAACCAGACAAUUUGCUAAUAAUUACCA
rnacentral:lncRNA from 1 species